rnacentral:rRNA from 1 species
ACUCAAAGGAAUUGACGGGGACCCGCACAAGCGGUGGAGCAUGUGGUUUAAUUCGACGCAACGCGAAGAACCUUACCUGGGUUAAAUCCCACUUGCAAGGCACAGAGAUGUGCCCCCCUCGCAAGAGGCGAGUGGGAAGGUGCUGCAUGGCUGUCGUCAGCUCGUGUCGUGAGAUGUUGGGUUAAGUCCCGCAACGAGCGCAACCCUUACCGUUAGUUGCCAGCAACUAGGUUGGGCACUCUAAUGGAACUGCCGGUGAUAAACCGGAGGAAGGUGGGGAUGACGUCAAGUCAUCAUGGCCUCUAUGUCCAGGGCUACACACGUGCUACAAUGGCAUCUACAAACCGCAGCAAACUCGCGAGAGGGAGCCAAUCGGAAAAAGGAUGUCUCAGUUCGGAUUGCAGUCUGCAACUCGGCUGCAUGAAGUUGGAAUCGCUAGUAAUCGCGGAUCAGCACGCCGCGGUGAAUACGUUCCCGGGUCUUGCACACACCGCCCGU